rnacentral:rRNA from 1 species
GGUUAAGCGACUAAGCGUACACGGUGGAUGCCCUGGCAGUCAGAGGCGAUGAAGGACGUGCUAAUCUGCGAUAAGCGUCGGUAAGGUGAUAUGAACCGUUAUAACCGGCGAUUUCCGAAUGGGGAAACCCAGUGUGAUUCGUCACACUAUCAUUAACUGAAUCCAUAGGUUAAUGAGGCGAACCGGGGGAACUGAAACAUCUAAGUACCCCGAGGAAAAGAAAUCAACCGAGAUUCCCCCAGUAGCGGCGAGCGAACGGGGAGCAGCCCAGAGCCUGAAUCAGUGUGUGUGUUAGUGGAAGCGUCUGGAAAGGCGCGCGAUACAGGGUGACAGCCCCGUACACAAAAAUGCACAUGCUGUGAGCUCGAUGAGUAGGGCGGGACACGUGGUAUCCUGUCUGAAUAUGGGGGGACCAUCCUCCAAGGCUAAAUACUCCUGACUGACCGAUAGUGAACCAGUACCGUGAGGGAAAGGCGAAAAGAACCCCGGCGAGGGGAGUGAAAAAGAACCUGAAACCGUGUACGUACAAGCAGUGGGAGCACAGAGCAAUCUGUGUGACUGCGUACCUUUUGUAUAAUGGGUCAGCGACUUAUAUUCUGUAGCAAGGUUAACCGAAUAGGGGAGCCGAAGGGAAACCGAGUCUUAACUGGGCGUUAAGUUGCAGGGUAUAGACCCGAAACCCGGUGAUCUAGCCAUGGGCAGGUUGAAGGUUGGGUAACACUAACUGGAGGACCGAACCGACUAAUGUUGAAAAAUUAGCGGAUGACUUGUGGCUGGGGGUGAAAGGCCAAUCAAACCGGGAGAUAGCUGGUUCUCCCCGAAAGCUAUUUAGGUAGCGCCUCGUGAAUUCAUCUCCGGGGGUAGAGCACUGUUUCGGCAAGGGGGUCAUCCCGACUUACCAACCCGAUGCAAACUGCGAAUACCGGAGAAUGUUAUCACGGGAGACACACGGCGGGUGCUAACGUCCGUCGUGAAGAGGGAAACAACCCAGACCGCCAGCUAAGGUCCCAAAGUCAUGGUUAAGUGGGAAACGAUGUGGGAAGGCCCAGACAGCCAGGAUGUUGGCUUAGAAGCAGCCAUCAUUUAAAGAAAGCGUAAUAGCUCACUGGUCGAGUCGGCCUGCGCGGAAGAUGUAACGGGGCUAAACCAUGCACCGAAGCUGCGGCAGCGACGCUUAUGCGUUGUUGGGUAGGGGAGCGUUCUGUAAGCCUGUGAAGGUGUGCUGUGAGGCAUGCUGGAGGUAUCAGAAGUGCGAAUGCUGACAUAAGUAACGAUAAAGCGGGUGAAAAGCCCGCUCGCCGGAAGACCAAGGGUUCCUGUCCAACGUUAAUCGGGGCAGGGUGAGUCGACCCCUAAGGCGAGGCCGAAAGGCGUAGUCGAUGGGAAACAGGUUAAUAUUCCUGUACUUGGUGUUACUGCGAAGGGGGGACGGAGAAGGCUAUGUUGGCCGGGCGACGGUUGUCCCGGUUUAAGCGUGUAGGCUGGUUUUCCAGGCAAAUCCGGAAAAUCAAGGCUGAGGCGUGAUGACGAGGCACUACGGUGCUGAAGCAACAAAUGCCCUGCUUCCAGGAAAAGCCUCUAAGCAUCAGGUAACAUCAAAUCGUACCCCAAACCGACACAGGUGGUCAGGUAGAGAAUACCAAGGCGCUUGAGAGAACUCGGGUGAAGGAACUAGGCAAAAUGGUGCCGUAACUUCGGGAGAAGGCACGCUGAUAUGUAGGUGAGGUCCCUCGCGGAUGGAGCUGAAAUCAGUCGAAGAUACCAGCUGGCUGCAACUGUUUAUUAAAAACACAGCACUGUGCAAACACGAAAGUGGACGUAUACGGUGUGACGCCUGCCCGGUGCCGGAAGGUUAAUUGAUGGGGUUAGCGGUAACGCGAAGCUCUUGAUCGAAGCCCCGGUAAACGGCGGCCGUAACUAUAACGGUCCUAAGGUAGCGAAAUUCCUUGUCGGGUAAGUUCCGACCUGCACGAAUGGCGUAAUGAUGGCCAGGCUGUCUCCACCCGAGACUCAGUGAAAUUGAACUCGCUGUGAAGAUGCAGUGUACCCGCGGCAAGACGGAAAGACCCCGUGAACCUUUACUAUAGCUUGACACUGAACAUUGAGCCUUGAUGUGUAGGAUAGGUGGGAGGCUUUGAAGUGUGGACGCCAGUCUGCAUGGAGCCGGCCUUGAAAUACCACCCUUUAAUGUUUGAUGUUCUAACGUUGGCCCCUGAUCGGGGUUGCGGACAGUGUCUGGUGGGUAGUUUGACUGGGGCGGUCUCCUCCUAAAGAGUAACGGAGGAGCACGAAGGUUGGCUAAUCCUGGUCGGACAUCAGGAGGUUAGUGCAAUGGCAUAAGCCAGCUUGACUGCGAGCGUGACGGCGCGAGCAGGUGCGAAAGCAGGUCAUAGUGAUCCGGUGGUUCUGAAUGGAAGGGCCAUCGCUCAACGGAUAAAAGGUACUCCGGGGAUAACAGGCUGAUACCGCCCAAGAGUUCAUAUCGACGGCGGUGUUUGGCACCUCGAUGUCGGCUCAUCACAUCCUGGGGCUGAAGUAGGUCCCAAGGGUAUGGCUGUUCGCCAUUUAAAGUGGUACGCGAGCUGGGUUUAGAACGUCGUGAGACAGUUCGGUCCCUAUCUGCCGUGGGCGCUGGAGAACUGAGGGGGGCUGCUCCUAGUACGAGAGGACCGGAGUGGACGCAUCACUGGUGUUCGGGUUGUCAUGCCAAUGGCACUGCCCGGUAGCUAAAUGCGGAAGAGAUAAGUGCUGAAAGCAUCUAAGCACGAAACUUGCCCCGAGAUGAGUUCUCCCUGACCCUUUAAGGGUCCUGAAGGAACGUUGAAGACGACGACGUUGAUAGGCCGGGUGUGUAAGCGCAGCGAUGCGUUGAGCUAACCGGUACUAAUGAACCGUGAGGCUUAACCUU